CGGUAUAUUGACCGUGCGAAGGUAGCAUAAUAAUUAGUCUUUUAAUUGAAGACUGGAAUGAAAGGUUGAACAAGAAGUUAGCUGUCUCUAAAUUAAAUUUUGAAUUUAACAUUUAAGUGAAAAGGCUUAAAUAUUUUAAAGGGACGAUAAGACCCUAUAAAUCUUUAUACUUGAUUUUAUAGAGCAAAAUAUUAAAAUAAUUUUUGUUCAAUAGGUUUGGGUAUUUUGUUGGGGCGACAGGAGUAUAAAAUGUAACUGCUCUAAAAUGAUAGUUAGUUGAUAUUUAGUUAAGUGAUCCUUUAAUAAAGAUGUUAGUUUAAGUUACUUUAGGGAUAACAGCGUAAUUUUUUUUGAGAGUCCGUAUCGAAAAAAAAGUUUGCGACCUCGAUGUUGAAUUAAAGAUCCUUUACGGUGCAGAAG
rnacentral:rRNA from 1 species